AUGGGCCGCCCGAGGACGAAAAGCGGGACAAAACCGGAAACGGGCCUCGGACUCACGCUCCCGCUUCUUCUCACGGACUUCCGGCCGUUCUGGGCGGCUCGGAGGCUCGGCUGUCUCGAUGGUUCCCAGCCGCGCCGCCCUGGCGCAGAAGGGGCGGGGCUGGGGUCGAGGGAGGAGCGGGUCCGGCGUCUCCCAGACUGGGAUGGUGGAGCAUUUGCAGGCCAAAGGGUGGAGAGGAUCCUGGCAAAGCGGGUGGAGAGCCUGGGGUCGCCCGGGCCUGACCCCCCCCCCCCACCUCAGGGACGCUGGACCCCACACCGGAUCUGUGCCCGGGCUUUUCCACAGAAGGCGGCUCCCGCUGGGCACGUUCCAGGCACCGGACAACGGAGACGCCCGGACCACGGGCGGAGUGGGCACGGAGGAGCGGCUAGCUGGGGAGGAGGGCAGAAGAGCCGAGUGGAGACAGCAGUGAAUGCCUUUGAGAUCUAGGACUGCUUGGCUCAAUGGCUGGUGGGAGAAACCAAUAGACCCGAGGGCCCUGCACAGAAGCAAUUUCCCUAAUCCCCUGAUGAUGGAAAUGUUACCUGAGGAGGUAAGGAGCUGGGAAUCCUAGGAGCAAAAAGGGAGCUGGAAGUAGGUGCCAAGAGGGCCUGAGGAGGUUGGUGAUAGGACCUGUGCCCAGCACAGAGAGACCUUGUCCCCACCCGUCCUGGGCUCUGCAUCAGCACCAGGCUCUUCCUGAGGCCCCAUCUCCUCCCUCUCCUGUCUGACUCCUUUUCUCCUACUCAGGCGCAAGUCCCUCAAAGGCUGAGCCUGUGAUGUUUCUGUCAUGCUUCUCUUCUGUGCUCAACGACCACACGCUCAAUAGAAACCUGUUUGAAAGACUGAGUAAACUCUGAGUCUGCAGAGUUUACUUUAUUGUUUUUUUACUUUAUUUUAUUUUUCUUUAAAGGAACAUAAAAACUAUAAUACAGGAUUUCCAGAAAUUAUAUGGAUUUCCUUCACUCGAAUGGAAGUUCGAGCUUAAUUAGAAUGGAACCGAAAUAUGGAAAAACAUGGCUGAAGCGGUACUCAGAGAUAGGCCUUUCACAAAAUUCACUCUUCCAGAUGUCACUGAUACUUUUGGAUUCUUUUUCAGAGGAAAGCUGCUUCUUGUUAAUGUCUGUUUGAAUACUGCAGUUCACGAAAAGUCAGGGCUCACACCCAUUAGGAUUGCUGCCAUCAAAACAACAAACAAUUGUGGACAAGGAUGUAGAGAAAGGGAACCCUCAUGCACUGCUGGUCGGGGUAUAGAAAGAUGCAGCCACUGUAGAAAACAGUACAGAGGUUCAUCAAAAAAUUAAACACAAUUACUUUAUAACCCAGCAAUUCUAGUUCUGGGUGAAUACACAAAGGAAUUGAAAGCAGGGUCUGGAAGAGAUGUUUGAACACCCACGUUCAUAGCAAUAUUAGUUACAAUUGCCAAAAGGUAGAAGCAAUGCAAGUAUCCAUGACAGAUGAAUGGGCUAAGGGAAAUGUGGUCCAUCCAUACAAUAGAAUAGUAAAUAUUACUCAGCUUUUUAAAUGGAAAGAUAUUCUAUCACAUGCUACAACACUAAUGAAUUCAGAGGACUUAUACUCUGUGAAAUAAGCAGUCACAAAAAGACAAAUACUGUUUUGAUUCUGCUUAGAUGAGGUUCAAAAAUCAUAGCAACAUAAAGUAGAAUGGUAGUUACCAGGAUCUGAGGGAAGAGAAUGAAGAGUUCUAAAGAUGGAGGGUUGUGAUGGGUCCACUAUAUGAAUACACUUAAUACCACCAACCUGUACACUUAAAAAUGGCUGUAAUGGCAAGAUGUAUAUUUUACCACAGGUUUUAAAAAUAAUUGGAAAAUCUCCCUCUCUCUCUGACUCUCCCCUGCUCGCACUCUAUCUCUCUGUCUCUGAAAAAUAAAUAAAAAACAUUAAAAAAAAUUUUUUUAAUAAUUGGAAAAAAAGUCAGGACUGAAAAUUGGCUUUGUGCUUUGAAAAACGGCACCUCUUCAAGUAUAUUCUUAAUUUAGUGAGAAAACCACAUUUUGGAAAUACUCAGAGAUUUGCUAACAAGAUCACCAGCUGAUGCUUUUCCACAGGCUGGAGGCAUAGGGAAACCUAAGCUUGCUUGCUUUCUUGCUUAUUUGUUUAUUUAGUUUAUUUAUUUUGAGAGGCGGGGAGAGAGAGAGAGAGCUGGGCAAGGGCAGCUUGGAGCCUGACACAGGGCUCAAUCCCACAAACCAAGAUCAUGACCUAAGCUGAAAUCAAGAGUCGGACACCACCAGCUGAGCCACCCAGGCACCCCAACCUAAGCUUUUAAAGGCCUUUUAACUGAUUACUCUAGACCUACCAGGAUACUUAAAAUCAAUUGAUUCGGUGCUUUAAUCGCAUCUGCAAGAUCACUUCACAGCAGCAUUUGGCUUAGUGUCUAAGUAUUAAGUAGGUGUGUGAGCUGCAAAUGAUCACCAUUUCCAUCCACUCAAGAAUUCACCUGUAAAGGAAUUAUGGGGGCAGUGUAGCUCGGCCACUUGACACACUCAAAGUAAUUUCAACCACUAGCCUGUGUGGCUCAGUUGGUUAACCGUCCAACUCUUGAUCUCGGCUCAGGUCACGAUCUCCCAUUGCAUGGGAUGGAGCUCUGCUGAGAGCGUAGAACCUGCUUGGGAUUCUCUCUCCUCUCUCUGUGCCUCCCUAACUCAUGCUCUCUCUCUCUCUCUCUCUCUCUAAGAUAAGUAAGCAUUAAAAUUAAAAAAAAAAAAACCAAACUUUUUAAAGAGGCUAGAAAACACACCAAACAUCACAAUAGUGAUCUCUGAAGAGUGAGACAAAGGGCAAGUUUUUACAUUUCUAAGUUUUUGCAUUUCCCAAAUAUCCUACAAUAAAUUUAUAUUUGGGGGGAAAUGACUUAAAAAUUACACAUUCACUGGUCAAAUCUUCAGCUCUGCGUGGGGCUGGUGGCUUCCUUUCUGGCGUACCUUUUAUAAGAUGCCAGGUUCCUGUGGGGGGAGGGGGAUGAAUGAUGAAAAGGGGUCACUAAGAAAUGGCCUCCCUCUCCAGCGGACACCUUCUGUUGACAGGCCUGGUGAGGGAUCACAUUCAGCUUGGCUGGGGCUCCCGAGGCACUGCCUGGUUCUUGCUUCAGCCACUGCCCCUCCAGCUGUGCCUUGGCUUGUCAAGAAACCCACGGUCCACCUGAGAAUUCCAAGCACCCCAUGCCAGGUGCUGUGUGGAUUCUAGUUCUAUGCCCCUCCUCCUCCUCCUAGGUGGCUGGGUCCCCUGCAAACAGUUUGAUC
ensembl:lncRNA